AUGAACGCUGGCGGCGUGCCUAAUACAUGCAAGUCGAGCGAACGGACGAGAAGCUUGCUUCUCUGAUGUUAGCGGCGGACGGGUGAGUAACACGUGGAUAACCUACCUAUAAGACUGGGAUAACUUCGGGAAACCGGAGCUAAUACCGGAUGAUAUUUUGAACCGCAUGGUUCAAAAGUGAAAGACGGUCUUGCUGUCACUUAUAGAUGGAUCCGCGCUGCAUUAGCUAGUUGGUAAGGUAACGGCUUACCAAGGCAACGAUGCAUAGCCGACCUGAGAGGGUGAUCGGCCACACUGGAACUUAGACACGGUCCAGACUCCUACGGGAGGCAGCAGUAUAGAAUCUUCCGCAAUGGGCGAAAGCCUGACGGAGCAACGCCGCGUGAGUGAUGAAGGUCUUCGGAUCGUAAAACUCUGUUAUUAGGGAAGAACAUAUGUGUAAGUAACUGUGCACAUCUUGACGGUACCUAAUCAGAAAGCCACGGCUAACUACGUG
rnacentral:rRNA from 1 species